rfam:Cryptosporidium parvum Iowa II chromosome 1, whole genome shotgun sequence.
GCUCAAAUCGUAUAGGUGGUUAGUACACCGCGUUGUGGCCGCGGCGACCCAGGUUCGAAUCCUGGUUUGAGCA